AAAUUGACGGGGACCCGCACAAGCGGUGGAUGAUGUGGAUUAAUUCGAUGCAACGCGAAGAACCUUACUACCCUUGACAUGUCGGAACUUGCCAGAGAUGGCUUGGUGCCCGAAAGGGAAUCGGAACACAGGUGCUGCAUGGCUGUCGUCAGCUCGUGUCGUGAGAUGUUGGUUAAGUCCCGCAACGAGCGCAACCCUUAUCAUUAGUUGCUACGCAAGGGCACUCUAAUGAGACUGCCGGUGACAAACCGGAGGAAGGUGGGGAUGACGUCAAGUCCUCAUGGCCCUUAUGGGUAGGGCUUCACACGUCAUACAAUGGUCGGUACAGAGGGUUGCCAAGCCGCGAGGCGGAGCCAAUCCCACAAAGCCGAUCGUAGUCCGGAUCGCAGUCUGCAACUCGACUGCGUGAAGUCGGAAUCGCUAGUAAUCGUGGAUCAGAAUGUCACGGUGAAUACGUUCCCGGGUCUU
rnacentral:rRNA from 1 species